GAUGAACGCUGGCGGCGUGCCUAAUACAUGCAAGUCGAACGAGUUCUCGUUGAUGAUCGGUGCUUGCACCGAGAUUCAACAUGGAACGAGUGGCGGACGGGUGAGUAACACGUGGGUAACCUGCCCUUAAGUGGGGGAUAACAUUUGGAAACAGAUGCUAAUACCGCAUAGAUCCAAGAACCGCAUGGUUCUUGGCUGAAAGAUGGCGUAAGCUAUCGCUUUUGGAUGGACCCGCGGCGUAUUAGCUAGUUGGUGAGGUAAUGGCUCACCAAGGCGAUGAUACGUAGCCGAACUGAGAGGUUGAUCGGCCACAUUGGGACUGAGACACGGCCCAAACUCCUACGGGAGGCAGCAGUAGGGAAUCUUCCACAAUGGACGCAAGUCUGAUGGAGCAACGCCGCGUGAGUGAAGAAGGCUUUCGGGUCGUAAAACUCUGUUGUUGGAGAAGAAUGGUCGGCAGAGUAACUGUUGUCGGCGUGACGGUAUCCAACCAGAAAGCCACGGCUAACUACGUGCCAGCAGCCGCGGUAAUACGUAGGUGGCAAGCGUUAUCCGGAUUUAUUGGGCGUAAAGCGAGCGCAGGCGGUUUUUUAAGUCUGAUGUGAAAGCCCUCGGCUUAACCGAGGAAGCGCAUCGGAAACUGGGAACUUGAGUGCAGAAAAGGACAGUGGAACUCCAUGUGUAGCGGUGAAAUGCGUAGAUAUAUGGAAGAACACCAGUGGCGAAGGCGGCUGUCUGGUCUGUAACUGACGCUGAGGCUCGAAAGCAUGGGUAGCGAACAGGAUUAGAUACCCUGGUAGUCCAUGCCGUAAACGAUGAAUGCUAGGUGUUGGAAGGUUUCCGCCCUUCAGUGCCGCAGCUAACGCAUUAAGCAUUCCGCCUGGGGAGUACGACCGCAAGGUUGAAACUCAAAGGAAUUGACGGGGGCCCGCACAAGCGGUGGAGCAUGUGGUUUAAUUCGAAGCAACGCGAAGAACCUUACCAGGUCUUGACAUCUUUUGAUCACCUGAGAGAUCAGGUUUCCCCUUCGGGGGCAAAAUGACAGGUGGUGCAUGGUUGUCGUCAGCUCGUGUCGUGAGAUGUUGGGUUAAGUCCCGCAACGAGCGCAACCCUUAUGACUAGUUGCCAGCAUUUAGUUGGGCACUCUAGUAAGACUGCCGGUGACAAACCGGAGGAAGGUGGGGAUGACGUCAAAUCAUCAUGCCCCUUAUGACCUGGGCUACACACGUGCUACAAUGGAUGGUACAACGAGUUGCAAGACCGCGAGGUCAAGCUAAUCUCUUAAAGCCAUUCUCAGUUCGGACUGUAGGCUGCAACUCGCCUACACGAAGUCGGAAUCGCUAGUAAUCGCGGAUCAGCACGCCGCGGUGAAUACGUUCCCGGGCCUUGUACACACCGCCCGUCACACCAUGAGAGUUUGUAACACCCGAAGCCGGUGGCGUAACCCUUUUAGGGAGCGAGCCGUCUAAGGUGGGACAAAUGAUUAGGGUG
rnacentral:rRNA from 1 species